CAUACACACAAACACAUACGAGAAACUAAUCGUUAAAACAAAUUAAGAAGAUAAGACCAUUUCAAUAAUUAUCAGUACAAAAUACGCGACGAGCAUAAAAACGAAGCGUUCCAAGUAUCCGUAAUCUCUUUUUACGAGAACGAGUUAAAAAGAAAA
rnacentral:lncRNA from 1 species